rnacentral:rRNA from 1 species
GCAGUGGAGUAUGUGGUUUAAUUCGAAGCAACGCGAAGAACCUUACCAGGGCUUGACAUCCCUUGAAGCAGCUAGAGAUAGCUGUGUCCUUCGGGACAAGGAGACAGGUGGUGGCAUGGUUGUCGUCAGCUCGUGUCGUGAGAUGUUGGGUUAAGUCCCGCAACGAGCGCAACCCCUAUUGUUAGUUGCCAUCAUUCAGUUGGGCACUCUAGCGAGACUGCCGGUAAUAAACCGGAGGAAGUGGGGAUGACGUCAAAUCAUCAUGCCCCUUAUGACCUGGGCUACACACGUGCUACAAUGGUUGGUACAACGAGUUGCGAGUCGGUGACGGCGAGCUAAUCUCUUAAAGCCAAUCUCAGUUCGGAUUGUAGGCUGCAACUCGCCUACAUGAAGUCGGAAUCGCUAGUAAUCGCGGAUCAGCACGCCGCGGUGAAUACGUUCCCGGGCCUU